rnacentral:rRNA from 1 species
UGGGGAAUAUUAGGCAAUGGGCGAAAGCCUGACCUAGCAACGCCGCGUGAGGGAAGAAGGUCUUCGGAUUGUAAACCUCUGUCCUUGGUGAAGAACACAAUGACAUUAGCCAAGGGAGAAAGCUCCGGCUAACUACGUGCCAGCAGCCGCGGUAAUACGUAGGGAGCGAGCGUUGUCCGGAAUUACUGGGCGUAAAGGGUGCGUAGGCGGUAGGCUAAGUUGGAUGUGAAAUACCUGGGCUUAACUUGGGGGCUGCAUUCAAAACUGGUUUACUAGAGUUCAGGAGAGGGAAGCGGAAUUCCUAGUGUAGCGGUAAAU